UAAAAGGGCAACGGCUUCGGCGUGACCUGGACUCGGCCGCCGCUUUCAUCACCGCUGGGGCCGGCGCGGCUCUGCUGGCUGGGAGGCGGGCCCGGCCGGGUUCCUGCCGCGCUCCAGGGGGCGUCGCCUCUCUUCCUGCCGCCCGCCCGCGGGCCCGAGCCUCUGCGGCUGCGUGGCAGGACCGGCACCCGGCCCACUGUUCCAGACAGCCGAGCGCCCCGGGCCAGGGCCCGCCCCACCCGCCCCGAGCGCCCACGCCGGGGAGUGCCCGAGGGCGGCGCGGCUCCACCUCGGCGCUUUUCGAGGGCCAGACGCUAGCCGCUUCUUGAUUUCCUCAUCUGGGAAACGGGAAUAACGCUCUCUGGUCUGCAAAAUGGGUCUUCAGUGGUUGCGGGGGCCCCCUCGCGGUAAAGUUCUGAGCGAGUGAAGGCUCUCUCUCAGCUCCAAACGGCUGUGUACAUCCGUAGAAUUGUGCUCUUGACCGGACUGUGACUGUCAACACUCAUCGCAGUUGCAGGCCAGGUAUCCGGAUCCGUAGGGCGUGAAAAUUACUACUCCCAGCCCCAGAAUGCCCCCUGCCGAUCUCGCCCGGUAGCCCUAUCUGGUGCCCUCGGCAGGACACCAAGUGCCUCAGGGCUCUCGACUGCGCUGCUCCCUCUGCCUGGAAGAGUUUCCAGCUCCUUCUUGGAGCCAAAUCCCACUGACCUCGAUGAAAUGCCACCUUCUCCAAGAGGCCUUCCUAGACCCUUCCUCUACUCUCCACGCCGGACACUCUGUGAUUAUUGGGGCGGGGGCUCACGCGGUGCCCGGACACAGUGGGCGCUCAAUCCCUGCGGGCCAAACUUCUGACCGUGGGAGUCCACAGACACCAACUGGACGAUUGUAAACACCCGUUUCAUUUGGGGUGUACAGAGACACCAGCUGGCCGGGAGCCGCGUUUCCGCGCGGAUUCUUCACGAGGGAAACUCCCGUGUUCUGCGCCGUGAGAUAAGGACAUUGAGCUCCGAGAAGCGAAGCGACCAGACCCAGCCUUCCGGCGAGGGUAGAGGUGGGAUCCUGGCCACCGAGCGGAGACCCCUCCCCUUCGGCUGAGCCCCAGGGCGGGAUGUCAGCUUUCGUCUCCGGAUCCCGGCUUGCACUGACCCCAAAAGGAAAUGUGUGGUGGAGGACUGAGUGACCCCCUGGCCUGAGCAGGGCGGCUCGCCUUCCUGUCCUUUCGUUUCUCCCUCUCUGAAGGCUGGAAGCUGGCCGGCUGAACUCUUGAGAGUCAGAGUGGCUGAAGAAAGGGGAGGAAUCAGAUCAUAGGCGCUGUGGGUCCAGAAACACCAGGACUCAGCUGGGUUUCUCUCUGGCAGCUGUGGGCAAGUGACCUCUCUAUUCAGCACCUCGGCUUCUUCAACUGCCAAAUGGGGUUGGUAAGAGCCCAACCCAGGCAAGUGAAGUAGGGGGUCCGUGUAGAAAGGCAGGGUGCCCACCGCAGGUCCUUCCCACCUGAGGGGCUGAGGAAACAUCCCCUCCUUCCCCCUAGGAAGACCAAAGCUACUAUGGGGGCGGAGGGAAGCCCUUUGUAGGGACCUCCCUGCCCAGAAAUGACUGACCUUGGCCUGACCUCAUUGCUAACACCUUGCUCAGGCCCAGGGUAGCCCUGUAGCUGACCCUUUGGUUUCCUCCCCUUCCUGCUUUCCUUGCCCCCAAGUUGUCAAUGCCAGGCAUAAGUAUGCAGGUGACCAGCUUGCUCAUUUUUCUGGAGCACCCCCCCCCCCCCCCCCCCCGCUCCAUAAGAUCCAAGAACACCCCACCCCCCAAGGUCGCACACACCUGUCCUCACUCCUGGCAAGUUCAUUCUUCCUUGGCUGCCCCCCCCCCCAUUCAACUUUAUAAAUCCUGUCCAGGAGUUACCUUCUCUGGCCCUUGCCUCUCCUUUUUGUCUUUUGCAGGUGUGCCUGACACGCACUUCGUGUCCCCCCCCCCCCCCCCCCCCCACUGUAGAGUGGUUUGUUAUCAUCUACCUAGCUGUCUCCCCCUACUGGAGUGUGAACUCUUGGAGGGCUGACAUCUUUAAUUCGGGACUUCGCUUCCCUCCCCCAUGUCUAGCGCAGGGAUGACACCCAAUUAAUACCUAGUGAAUUGAUUGGAGAGUGUGUGCAGAGGUAUAGCUGGGGACACUUCCAGGACGCUGGGCAGGAGUAUGGAAGACGCCUUUCUCCAUUAUCUUGCCCCCAUCCACCCUCCUCUUCCGCUAGCCCGGGUCCCAUCUUCUCCAGGACCAAGCCCAGAGAGGGACUCAGCGGCCUUCUAGCUCAGGUACCCUCUCCCACCGUUUCUCUGAUUGGGCCAGACCUGUCCCAUCCCGUCACUCCUUAAGGGCCCCACUCGCAUCGUUGCCCUUUUAAGAAAGAGGAAAUUCUUCUCAUAAACAAGCGCCUCAACCUGAGCGCGGAGCUUGCCCCGCCGGAUCCCUGGGCAAUCGAGGGUGCUUCCAGGCACAAAGCCCGCUCCAGGCUCACCCCAGGGCAAAGGCCUGGGGGCCCCUUCUGGUCACCCCUCUCCGCAGCUCCAGGGCAGUGGUCAGAGGGACCCGACGAGGCCGGAGGAGGGACUUGGGGGAGCCUAGAAACAGCCCAGGGAGCGUCUGUAAAGUGCAACCCUUGCACCGGGCGAAGGGGUGCCGGGCGGCUCCCAGCGGCCAAGGGGGUUCCCCGCCCACACAGCUCCCCUCCACCUCCGCCUCCCCCCACCUUCCGAAGCCCCGGGGCGCGAAGUCGGAGCGCUUGCCUCCAGCUCUUGGGCCGGGAGGGAGUGAGGGCGCUCGGGACCGUCCCUGCCCCUAGGGGGAGCUGGGAGUCAGCACCCAGGGAGCGUUAAGUGCGCGGCGUGGGAGUCCCGGCCGCCCAGUCCCCUGGGGAAAUGGCAAAUGAAUUGGGCCUCGGAGGCACGACUCUUGGGUUCCAUGACCUGGCGCCUGAAGAGAAGUCUGCGCCUUGGUUUUACGGCCUGGAAAGUGGGUUAGUUUGAAGCUACUCUAGGAACUGACAUUCGAAUGGGGUGGGGGGCGGGGAGGACUCUUCUACUGGUCCAAGGAUUUUGUCCUUUCCCUGUUUCUACUUUCCUGUGCCUUUGGAUGAGAAGUAGACUAGCAUUUAUUGAGCAUUCAUCAAGCUAAUCAGACCAUCGUAAGUGCCAGUUUGAUGCGUGUGUCCCGUCCCCAAAUGGGUCCGUUUGUCAGGUCACUCCUAUAGGCCCACAAUAAAUAUUUUUGGAGUUACUAUUAUUUUUAAGUCCCACGUGCCAGGCAUUGUGUUAAAGUGCUUUACAUCCAUCACACGGUUGGCGUUGUCCUCAUUCUACAGAUGAGAACACAGACUGGAGAUUAAUCACUUGUCCAAGCUGGGAAACAGCAAGUCUCUAUGGAAGCCUGGUUAGCCUGCCUCCAAAACUCCCACUCCAUCUUGUUGCCUCCACACACACACACACCCCGGGGCAGGCCAGUCUGCCCCACUCAUUCCACGCCCAAG